ACAACCUAACUGAGCCAGAAAGGCGGUAUAAUGUAGCACAUAAAAGUAUUCGAAAUGUAAUCGAACGGCUAAAUGGUGUUCUGAAGACACGCUUUAGGUGCUUAUCAAAGCAUAGAGUAUUACAUUACAAUCCAGCGAAAUGUGCCAAACUUAUAUAUGCAUGUGCUAUACUCCAUAACAUGUGCAUACAUAAUGGUGAGAUUGAUAUCGAUAUUGAUCAUAAUGAUGAAGAGGACAAUAAUGAUGAACCUCGAAAUGCAGAGAAUGAUCAUAAUAAUUUACGUGAGGGAAGAAUCAUUCGAAACAGAAUUAUUCGAGAUUAUUUUCAAUAGUAUAAUUCUCAAAAUUUUGCCUUACAUAAUAGAUAGCAGUCUCUUUACUGCUGCCAGAAACUCCUCUAAGGAUUGUAAUAAAAUGUGCAAUGUUAAUGUCAUUCUUUUGUUGUUUUUGAUGUAUUCCUCUACAGUUCUUAAUACAUUCUUACUCAACCGA